AGCGUAGGCGGAUUUUUAAGUGAGAUGUGAAAUAUUCGGGCUUAACCUGAGUGCUGCAUUUCAAACUGGAAGUCUAGAGUGCAGGAGAGGAGAAGGGAAUUCCUAGUGUAGCGGUGAAAUGCGUAGAGAUUAGGAAGAACACCAGUGGCGAAGGCGCUUCUCUGGACUGUAACUGACGCUGAGGCUCGAAAGCGUGGGAGCAAACA
rnacentral:rRNA from 1 species